rnacentral:tRNA from 1 species
GCGAGGGUGGCGGAACUGGCAGACGCGUGGGACUUAGGAUCCCAUGUCUUCGGGCUUAAGGGUUCAAAUCCCUUCCCUCGCACCA